rnacentral:tRNA from 1 species
UGGCCGUUAGCCCAAUGGUCAAGGCACCGGGUUUUGGCUCCGGCUAUAGUGGUUCGAUUCCACUACGGCCAG